UUGUGGAGGGGGACGCCGAAGGUGGGGCUAAUGACUGGGGUGAAGUCGUAACAAGGUAGCCGUACCGGAAGGUGCGGCUGGAUCACCUCCUAACAGGGAGACAACAAAAUGUUUAAUAUUAUUAUUUUGUCACCUUAGGUCGAUCGGUAUCUCACGUUCUUAACUAAUUAAGAAUUUCAAUUCCUAAGUUUUUCUAGGUCACACCCAUUAUUUUUCCUGGGCCAUUAGCUCAGGUGGUUAGAGCGCACCCCUGAUAAGGGUGAGGUCCCUGGUUCAAGUCCAGGAUGGCCCAUAUCUCUAUGUUGGGGGUAUAGCUCAGUUGGUAGAGCGCCUGCUUUGCAAGCAGGAUGUCAGCGGUUCGAGUCCGCUUACCUCCACUGAUUACCACCUCUUCCAUAAUCUGUAGAAAGGAAAUUUUUUGAGUUGUGAUCAACUUCUGAACGAAUCUAGCUUCCUAAUGAAAGCAUUAAGAUGCUGGACUCAUUGAAUUAAUUUCAUUGUUUUCAGAGAACCUUGACAACUGCAUAGAUUAUUUUUAAAGACAAUAAGCAUCUUUAAUGAUGCAGAUUUAUUAUUUGUGCGAAUGCAUUAAUAACAAUUCUAUUAAGCUGAUGCUUCAAUUUUGAAGUUGUUGGUCAAGCUACAA
rnacentral:misc_RNA from 1 species